rnacentral:misc_RNA from 1 species
GAUGAAGAACGCAGCGAAAUGCGAUAAGUAGUGUGAAUUGCAGAAUUCAGUGAAUCAUCGAAUCUUUGAACGCACAUUGCGCCCUUUGGUAUUCCUUAGGGCAUGCCUGUUCGAGCGUCAUUUAAACCUUCAAGCUAAGCUUGGUGUUGGGUGACUGUCCGCUUCACGGCGGACUUGCCUCAAAAUUAUUGGCGGCCGGUACAUUGGCUUCGAGCGCAGCAGAAACGCGAACUCGGGCCCGUCGUAUUGGCUCCCAGAAGCUAUCUUCACAAUUUUGACCUCGGAUCAGGUAGGGAUACCCGCUGAACUUAAGCAUAUCAAUAAGCGGAGGA